UUCAGAACUAUCUGUAACAUGCGGAAAUGCAACACAUCAAAGCCUGGACCUCAGGCUACAAAAUCAGAUAAAAAUUCAAAACAAAAGAUGCCUGAGGGAAGCUGGAAGUGUGAGAAAUGUAGCAAUAUUAACUAUCCGUUUAGGACAAAGUGCAACCUGUGUUUAAAAAAGCGCCGC